CGCAGGGUGCCAGUGAGUUCCUCCAGUUCUGGGUCCAUCCAGCGAGGUCACUCGCGCGGAGCGUGCAGAUCCGCCGCCAUCCUCCUGUGUGGUGGAUGUGCUCGAUGGCCAGGUCAAGAGGCAUGGUACGGUUCCUGAUGCCCAUCGGUAGUGAGAACUGCAAAAGGUAGUAGCAGAUUCAAAGUAGUGUGCUUCAGCAGGUACCUACCGUGCUUAUAAGUUGUUUCGAAAAUCAUUCCAGG